GACGAACGCUGGCGGCGCGCCUAACACAUGCAAGUCGAACGAGCGAGAGAGAGCUUGCUUUCUUGAGCGAGUGGCGAACGGGUGAGUAACGCGUGAGGAACCUGCCUCAAAGAGGGGGACAACAGUUGGAAACGACUGCUAAUACCGCAUAAGCCCACGGUGCCGCAUGGCACAGAGGGAAAAGGAGCAAUCCGCUUUGAGAUGGCCUCGCGUCCGAUUAGCUAGUUGGUGAGGUAACGGCCCACCAAGGCGACGAUCGGUAGCCGGACUGAGAGGUUGAACGGCCACAUUGGGAUUGAGACACGGCCCAGACUCCUACGGGAGGCAGCAGUGGGGAAUAUUGCACAAUGGGGGAAACCCUGAUGCAGCGACGCCGCGUGGAGGAAGAAGGUCUUCGGAUUGUAAACUCCUGUUGUUGGGGAAGAUAAUGACGGUACCCAACAAGGAAGUGACGGCUAACUACGUG
rnacentral:rRNA from 1 species